GUCUAUGGCCAUGCCACCCUGAAUGCGCCCGAUCCCAUCUGAUCUCGGAAGCUAAGCAAGAUCAAGCCUGGUUAGUACUUGGAUGAGAGACCACCUGGGAAUACCAGGUGCUAUAGGCU
rnacentral:rRNA from 1 species